GUUCCUUUUCGUUCCCCCGGCGGCCACCGUUCUAUUCCUUCCCGCUGCUCCGCUCAACGAAAAUGGCGCCUUCCCUCGAAGACCUCACCCGGGUACUCGCCGAGCUCGCUGCACGCCUCUCCCAACCUGCCACCGGCGGCGUUUCCUCCUCCUCCGGAGACUCCCUCUCAGCCACCAUAUUCUCCUCGCCCCCGCCCUCAACCCCAGUGCCGACGGCGGCGGCGCUUCAUCUGGAACCAGGGUUCUGGACUCCGCGUUCUCCCUCAUGUGCUUCGACUCGCUAGAGGAAGGGAGACUCCCACGUCGUAUCUCCUAUUGGAUUGUUAGCGCUGUUGGCAUUUUAGCUGAACCAUCGCGCUGAUGGAACUGCGUGUGGAUGCAGGUGAAUAGUGCCCGAGUCGACUGCCUUGUCCGCAGUUCCGCACCCUCGUCUCCGUGCUCUCGGCAUCAGUCUCGUGCCGUGUGGUUCGGCCCAAUGGCGACGCUGGUCAGGACAUGCUCUGUGUCGGGAGCUCCGUCUCGCCCGUGCAUUGCCGCGAGCUGCUCCGAUCGAUCGUGUAUUCGUGUGCAGCCCUUGUGGAGAAAUUGGGAGAUUGUGAGAUUUUUUUAACAGGGAUCUCUUCCUACACAUUGUAAUUGCGCAUGUCUAAUGUCACACGAAGUGCCCAUCAAUGCUAUGGUCAGAUGAUGUGACACUCAUAAUGUUUAGGAGUAUUCGUGAGCAGUUUCACAGUUGGGAGUUCAGCUUAUAAAUGAUGUGUUCUCCCUGUAGGUUGGUUAUCUGUUUUUUUGUUAAUGUUGACAAAUUUUUAUUUCUUUAAUUUAGAUGGAAGACAUUCUUAUGAUAUGUUGUAUGCUGUUGCGAAAACCAUCGUGCUAUCCCCUAACUACCAGUGUCUUUUCCUUUUACCAUAUUAUAAGGAAGAGGGAGAAAUAGUAUCUCGUAUGGGAACCAUUGCUGCGGAGUUAAUAAACCAUCCUUCCUAUCAUGUCCUUCCUAGUGACGAUUCAAACCCACCAAGGUUGCUUUUAUGGCAUCUUGAUCCAUCAAUUAUUAGGCUUGAUCUCUCAGUGAUGCUCAAGGAGGUAAUUAAAAGGCCCUUGCUUUGCCUGAGAAAGGAAUUAUAUAAUAGGAUGGAAUGGCGUAUCAUCAUAAUUUGCCCGGUUUGCUCCCCAACUGUAUUUAUGGAGAUGAGAUCACUAUUACACUUCUGGUUUCAAGGAACGGGUUUGAGUUGUGUGCUAGAACUUCACAAUGCAUUGGUAUCAUCGGCACUAGACAUUCUUCUCAAGCCUAUGCCAUGAGGAAUAUCCAUAGAUUUGGGGCAGAGAUUUCCCUUUUCACAUGCUUACUUCCUAAGCCAUCAAAGAAACUUGCUUGCAAUACUAACUGGACCCUUAUCUUGUAAAGCUUUUUUGGACCUAAUUUCUUAUAUCAGUGCCUUGAUUGAUUUGGAUAACACAAGAACUAGAUGCUCUUCACAAAAAAACUUACAACUACAACCAUUGAAGGGAUUGGUAAUGUGUUUUUAAAUAUGCAACACAACUAGAUGUUUAGCAUUUGUCUGACAGAAGUUAACUGCACCUGCUAUAAUUGUGCUUCUGCAGGUACAUGAUUAUUAGUUUUCCUGUUUGGUUCAGUUUUGCAACUGCUUUACUUUUCUACAGAGAAGGCUCACACGAUUCUUUAUCAGAAACAUUAUCCAAAGAGCCAACUGCUGAAUCAAUAAGUGACGUCAGUCUUGUUCAGAGGGCAGCCUUUUACCUUUCUUGGGUGCUAUGCCCUUCUAAUGAUGAUCAAUGCGAGAUGCUAUCAAACAAUAUAUUGGAAAUAUCACAUUCUUGGGCUAGGAACAACAAAAAGUGCCUGAGCUACCAAAUUACUAUGAACCAUAGGAGGAAACUGCAAAUACCCACAGCUGCGAAGUCAGAGAAAUUUCAUGUGCCAAUAAACACUGUAAGCUCCCUUGUUAAAGAAUUUGAUGAUAGCUGUGUGCCUGUGUAAAAUGUUGUAGCACAACUGCCUUUCCUCAAGUGCAAGAUGGAAAACUAGCGGAUCUCCAUCCUUCAAACUUUAACCUAAUAUUGCAUCAGUGGAUUCCUUUAGGAGUAUUGCUUAUAUCACCUAGUUGUGCUAACGAGCAGAACUGUGACAUCCUUCUGUGCUACACAAGCACUGGGGAAGAUUCUGGUAUCAAAUGAAGCACAAAUAAGAACAAAAGAUUAUUCCAGUAAUGAUGGUUUCUUAGGCAGCUGCAUUGAUAGCUGAGAGAUGGGCUUUGAUUGGAGCAUAUCUCAUCUUUAUCUGGCUUGACGUAGUUGAGGAUAUGUCCUCAUUGAUAUUUGGUUGCGAAGAUAGAUGUCAUCGUUCUGUCAGCCAACUCAGAAACAAGACUGCCCCAUACCCUGCUCAAGUGUGUAAAAUCAUUAUUUAAAGUGUUGGAACAGGCAAAUCAAGAUAGAGAUUUUGUGAUUGAUCUUCAUAGUAGGUUGUUGAACUGGAAUCAGAAUGGGCAAGGCGGUGAGAUAUUUAGGGAUGUUAUCCUUGAAAUGAGCAAGAAGAUUAAUCUUUCUUUGUAGCAGUGACCAGGAAUUUUACGCAGAUCUUGAAUAUUUGAAUUUCUAGGUUUGAUUGCCAGCUUCCAUUUUGAUGGUAAUGACAAAGGUUGUCUCCAGCAGCUAUUCUAUUACAUCCCCUAUUUCAAACUUCACUAUAUGAAUAGAGUAAUCUACAAUGCAAAUUUCCUAUUUUUCACGAUCUGAUGUGUACUGCCUAAUGUGGUUGAAGGAGGCAAAACUCUGAACUGUUGAGUUGGACCAGAUCCAUUGCAGACAACGAUCAUUUCCCUCCAGAGCAGGUUCUAGGUUUGCACGGCUGGCUCCUAAUCCAGACACCCAAGACCACCAGGUAACAGUGAUGCUGGUGAGGUGCUUUCACUGCUUCGGCUGUACUUCGUUUAUUCACUUCAAGGUCGACACGAUUCCCUUGAAGAGGAAAGGAAACAUCAAGUACGUGCAUGAUUGAUCUGGUUUGCCUGGCCUGUAUUCCAGGGUUCUCGUUUCUUCUCGGUACAUGUUUCUGUUAACGAAACCUUAGCUGCGCAUAUAUCAAGCGAAUGGACUGCCGUCUUCUCUGAACACACUGCUAGUGCUAGUGCUAGUUUCUUCUCGAUACAUGGUUCUGGGAAAUGAAGAAAGAAUAGUCUACUCUGAACGCUGCACGUUCCCACUGCUAGUGCUAGUUGAGACGCCGGAGCACAAAUGGACUGCCGUCUGCAGGUAACGUGUUAUUUUCCUGUUGAGUUAAUGCAGCCGAAUGAAGUGUGUUUCCUUAUAGGACAUCAGCAUUAAUUUCAGCAGCUGAAUUUGAUAUAUACCUGUACUCUGUUGCCGCUUUGGUGUGUAUAGUUUAUCGUUGGCUGUUGUGUUUCAGUCCCUUUCUGUAUGAACCCGUCGUCAAACACACAAAGUUGAAGAUGCUGGUUGAACUUUGUUAGUUAGUAUUAGUCAGUUAUUAUUGGAUUCAGAAUUUCAAUGUAUUAUAUUCUUAAUACCCCCCAUAACACUGCUGGGAGGAUA